rnacentral:rRNA from 1 species
CAUGCCUUACACAUGCAAGUCGAACGGUAACAGGUCUUCGGAUGCUGACGAGUGGCGAACGGGUGAGUAAUACAUCGGAAUCUACCCAGCAGUACGGAAUAACUUUUGGAAACGAAAGAUAAUACCGUAUACAGCUGAGAAGUGAAAGAUUUAUCGCUGUUGGAUGAGCCUAUGCAGGAUUAGCUAGUUGGUGGGGUAAUGGCCUACCAAGGCUAUGAUCCUUAGCUGGUCUGAGAGGAUGAACAGCCACACUGGAACUGAGACACGGUCCAGACUCCUACGGGAGGCAGCAGUGGGGAAUUUUGGACAAUGGGCGAAAGCCUGAUCCAGCGACGCCGCGUGAGUGAUGAAGGCCUUAGGGUUGUAAAGCUCUUUCAGUAGGGAAGAUAGUGACGGUACCUACAGAAGAAGCCCCGGCUAACUUCGUGCCAGCCGCCGCCGUAA